rnacentral:rRNA from 1 species
AGUGAACGCUGGCGGUAGGCCUAACACAUGCAAGUCGAAUGGCAGCACAGGAGAGCUUGCUCUCUGGGUGGCGAGUGGCGGACGGGUGAGGAAUACAUCGGAAUCUACUCUGUCGUGGGGGAUAACGUAGGGAAACUUACGCUAAUACCGCAUACGACCUACGGGUGAAAGCAGGGGACCUUCGGGCCUUGCGCGAUUGAAUGAGCCGAUGUCGGAUUAGCUAGUUGGCGGGGUAAAGGCCCACCAAGGCGACGAUCCGUAGCUGGUCUGAGAGGAUGAUCAGCCACACUGGAACUGAGACACGGUCCAGACUCCUACGGGAGGCAGCAGUGGGAAUAUUGGACAAUGGGCGCAAGCCUGAUCCAGCCAUACCGCGUGGGUGAAGAAGGCCUUCGGGUUGUAAAGCCCUUUUGUUGGGAAAGAAAUCCAGCUGGCUAAUACCCGGUUGGGAUGACGGUACCCAAAGAAUAAGCACCGGCUAACUUCGUGCCAGCCGCCGCGGUAA